rnacentral:rRNA from 1 species
UACAGAGGGUGCGAGCGUUGUCCGGAAUCACUGGGCGUAAAGGGCGCGUAGGUGGCGCGACAAGUCAGUGGUGAAAGUUCGACGCUCAACGUCGAAUCGGCCACUGAUACUGUUGGGCUUGAGCACUGUAGAGGCAGAUGGAAUUCCGGGUGUAGCGGUGGAAUGCGUAGAGAUCCGGAAGAACACCGGUGGCGAAGGCGGUCUGCUGGGCAGUUGCUGACACUGAGGCGCGACAGCGUGGGGAGCAAACAGGG